rnacentral:rRNA from 1 species
UACAGAGGUGUCAAACGUUGUCCGGAAUUACUGGGCGUAAAGGGCGCGUAGGCGGCCUUAUAAGUCAUGUGUGAAAGCUCUGGGCUCAACCCAGGAAUUGCAUGUGAUACUGUAAGGCUCGAGUUCGGUAGAGGAGGGCGGAAUUCCAGGUGUAGCGGUGAAAUGCGUAGAUAUCGGAAGGAACACCAGUGGCGAAAGCGGCUUCCUGGUCCAGCACCGACGUCAGGCACGAAAGCGUGGGGAGCAAACAGG